UAACGUUCCCGGGCCUUGUACACACCGCCCGUCACACCACAAAAGCGAGUAACACCCGAAGCCGGUGGCCUAACCGCAAGGAGGGAGCCGUCGAAGGUGGGACCCGUGAUUGGGGUG
rnacentral:rRNA from 1 species